rnacentral:rRNA from 1 species
AAGCAUUCGGCAAGGACGCUUUCAUUAAUCAAGAACGAAAGUCGGGGGAUCGAAGACGAUCAGAUACCGUCGUAGUCCCGACCGUAAACGAUGCCGACCGAGGGCCCGGAGGAGUUACGUACGACCCUCCGGGCCCUCCCGCGAGAAAUCAGGAGUAUUCGGGUUCCGGGGGGAGGUAUGGUCGCAAGGCCGAAACUUAAAGGAAUUGACGGAAGGGGCACCACCAGGAGUGGAAUCUGCGGCUUAAUUUGACUCAACGCGGGAAAACUCACCAGGUCAGGACACGGUAAGGAUUGACGGACUGAAGGCUCUUUCUCGAUUCCGUGGAAAGUGGUGCAUGGCCGUUUUUGGUUGUGGAUCGAUCCGUCUGGUUAAUUCCGUUAACGUAACGAGACCUCGGCACUCCGAAUAGCGCGGCGGACGUCGCGGCCUCCGGGCCCGUCUUCCGCACGAGCUUCUUAGAGGGACC